GAGGCAGGCUUGAGAGGGAAGGAGGAGGUGACGCUGGUGGGGCAGGCUGUUAUUUUGGUGGUGGUCACGGUUUCAGAUAGGGCACCAUCCCCCUUUUUCCUGGCUUUCCAGGGAGAGCAGCAAGAGAAAGAAAGAAGCAAACGAAAUUCCUGAAUGGAUAGAAGAUGCUACGUCAGCGGUACCCAGUCGCAUCCUCCACUCCACAAGAGGAGAAGAACUGGGAGAGACCCGCGGCUGCUCAGCGUUGUCGCCUCUCCUCCUCGCAGAGGCAAGUACCCCAGACACGGCCAACGUCUUAAUGCAGCCGGAGCAGCAGGAAGGAGAGUGCAGAGAGGACCUGGGGAAGAGGGAAGGGCUCUGAACCUGGGCUCCAGGAGCAGCGGCCCUGUUCACUUCAUCGGCUCAUCGAUGUCGUCAUAGGCGGCCGGCAUCUCUGACUUUGGUGUGACCUGCAUUGUCAAAGCUAAGAGGCAAUGCAACAACACAGCCUGGGGACAAAAGGCCACCCUGUAUCUGGUUCUGCAUGGAGAGGGAAGAAUAUGUCAGAAAACCUCCUCGCUCUUGAGGGACACUUUUGAAGGGGCAUCUUGUUUCCAGCUGGAAGAGCAUGAGCUAUCCACAGACUGAUCCCAGUUAAAGGAGCCAAGAGUCCUCUGCUCCUCUCCAAGCACAGCUUCUCCCCUGGGCGGGUGGGUGUUCCACCCUCCCGCCCUUUCUCUGCCUUGUGGACAAGGAUGUGAGGACCAGUGGCAUCCAGCACCGCGGACAGCUCCCAGCGCUCUUUGGAAACUGUGCCUUCUCUAAGACCACUCACAGCAUCUCCCGGGCCAGCGGACUUUCCUGUCCUCCCUCUGUGGACAAUUCCAUGCUGAUCUGCUCUUCCCAGCCUCUGCGAUGGCCUUGCUUUUGUGCCCUAGCCGACAGACUGUUGCUGGUCCAGUCACUCAGCCCUCUGGGUCAGCCAGCUCCACACAGAGGUGUCAGCCUUGAUGUCCCCUCUUCUACCACCAUCUGCCGACGGUGAAAACUUUCACUCAUCUCCUUAAGUUUGGUCCAUUCAGAACAGCAGAGUUACAUCCUACCCACUGUCCAGCGUCCUGUCCUUAGCUCUCACACCCAAGCCUGGAGCCGGAAACGGCCACAUGUGCCCAGGUCCUACUGUGAAGAACACUGGGAGGUGGCUGUGUUUCUACUUUGGGGUGGCAGAGCGCAAGAGGCUCCUAUCAGGGAGUCCAGUUGCUCACUAGUGUGAUUUGUGCCCAAGAAAACACUCUUGCUUUCUUCCCUCUAAACCUGCAGAUCCUCAGGUUCAAAUUUUUAGUUUUUAAUUUUGGGGGUUCAUUUUAGUUUCUGUAUAUAAAUGUCUGCGUGUAUAUAUGUGCACCACAUAUAUGCCUGGUGCCCAUAGAAGUCAGAAGAAAGCAUUAAAUCUCCUGGAGCAGGAGUUACAGACAGUUGUGAGCUGCCAUGUGGGUGCGGGGAUCUUAACCCAAGUCCUCUGGAAGAGUAAGUACUCUUAACCCCUGAACCAUCUCUCUAGCCCCAGGCUCAAACCUUGAGCACUGUCUGGCUUUGCCCCGUGUCCAAAUCCAUCUCACCAAACCCUGUCAUCCCCUCCUUGUGCCAACUCAUGUGUCCAAGCCUUCCUUUUCCUUAUGCCUCCAGGUCGACUCCUACAGUCAGAAGGCUUUUUGAACGCCUCAUUCAUGCCAGGUAUGGCCCUGUGGAGCGGGCAGGCUAGUGGGAAAGCAGCUCAGGCCAGUGGUUGCCCUGCAAUGUGCCCAGUGGCUUCCUGGAGGAUACUCAAGCAGCUUUGCAAGGUGUUAGAGACUUUGGGGAGGUAGACGGUGGGAAGUAGCUGUCAGAAAGAAAAUGUAUAUUUGGGGACUUGCCUGUCCCUCAAAGGAAGUGGAGCCUUAGAUACUGAAGCAGGGAGGCUGGUUCAAUGGUGAGGAUUACAGGAAGUCAGCCAUAGGCUCAGAGAUGCUAGAACACGGCACCUGGCCAAGAGGUUGUGCAUAACUUCCAGGUGGCUCACAUGUGUACAACGUGAUGGUUUCUGGGCUUGCAUGUUAAAAACCAAAGACUUAAGAAGUCAAGGGCUAUAAGGCCAACUCCUGCUAGACUGGAAAGGAGGGACUAAUGAAAGUGGGAGGUGUCUGAGGGGGUUCUCUGAGAGCAAGGGGGAGCAGAGGAAGUGCUGCUGGUUCACAGGUUGCCACGUAAGCAAGAUGCCAGGCUUCAUACAGCCCCUUUCCUGGCCUCCCUUCAGCGUCCCUUCCUGCUUAGUGGCAGUGGAGAACGACGGACCGACCUCUCCCUCAUCAGCAAGCCCUCGCUGACUACCUGGCCCUUCUAAUUGUUCUUUGGGUUUGGAACACUUUAAACAGCAGAAUGACUACAGAUCAAGGGCUCAGUCCACAGGAAGGACAACAAAAGACUGAGUUAGGGUUGGGCAGAUGGUCAAGACACAGGGUCCGGCUUCCCUCACUUGCUAGUAGAGGAUUAAGAGGUAAGUUAUCAAUGCCUUUGGGCCCUAACUUUAUAGCGCUUUGCAGGGUCACGUGCAAUGUCCAGUGUUCAAUGCUGAAUGUUGAGGGACACGGUAAGAGGAAGUAGGAGGAACUGAAGCAACAGUCUCCCAGAAGCCUGGGCCUUGGGAACCCCAUUAGGUGCCUGUCCAGUGCCUGGAGCUGUCUGGGUCUUAGGUCUGUGUUAGAGGGUGACAUCUCGCUAGUACUAGUGAUCUAGUAACUAGGAGGCCUGCUCCCACAUUACCUACAGCUGAUUCUGUUCCUUCGCUUGUCUCUCUCUCUCUCUCUCUGUUCUCCAAAGCGGCACAAGCCAGGCACUAUGGAGUGAGGACCUGCAAGCCCUGCCCACAGGCUUCCAGCCUCUGAUCCUCUGGCCCUUGGAAUGGUCAGCAGUGAGCUACUUUUGAGUCUGUCAGGAGCCUUGGGCCCAUGGUUCGGAGAUACUCUGAGCAGGGCAGGUCUUCAGUUGUCCCUUGUCAUGCAAGCAAGAGUCAGGGGGAAAUGGCACUGGCCUUAGCCCUCAUCAAGAGCACUGGGGCCUCCAGAAUUGGAGGGAGGACCAGGCUGAGGCUGGCAUAUGGAGGAGAACCUGAGCAUGGUGGAGUUUCACCUGCUAGGGCUGCCUUCUGCCGGAUUGUCCAUCUGGCACCAGCUGGCACAUACCGGCUCCGCCCCCACAGCCACCCAGACUCCUUCCGCUGUUGCUAUGACAACUGGCUGCCAUCUUGUACUCAGGGCACUACCUCCUCUCUGGAUUUUCCUACCAGGCUCCUGAAGGACAGGAGACGGGUCCUUAAAAAUUUAUAUCACUAUCUGGUGUUUGCAAAUGGCCAGGAAGGCCAGGCGUGGGGCCUCCCAGCUGUAAUCUCAGUCCGUGGAAGGCUGGGGCGGAAGAAUGGUCAGUGUGAGGCCAGCCUGGGCAAAGAGUUAGACCUUGGUCUCAAAAACAAACCAAAUUUCUUGGUUUGAUGACACAUUCUUUUAAUCUCAGUACUUGAAAGACAGAGGCAGGAGGAUCUCUGUAAGUUCAAGACCACCCUUGUCACCACAGCAAGUUUCAGGACAGCCAGAGCUACCUAGUGAGACCCUGUCUCUAAUAAAACAAGCCAAAUUAAUCAUCACAUCCAGGACUAAGGCUCUAGCUCGGUUGGUAGUGUGAUUGUCUAUGCACGAGCCCUGGCCCCUUCCCAGCACCGGAGACCGUAUAUGGUGACACACAUGAGUAAUCCCAAAAUCAGGGCUAGAUUAUGAGUUCAAAGACAUCCUGGGCCGUGGUGUAAGACUCUAUCUCAAAGAAAUAAAAAUGUCAAUGACCAAGAUAGGCCACUCCGUCCGGCUCUGCGUUAGACGUUAUUCAGUUUGUCCAGAAGUUCAGAUCCUGUGUCUGGGCCGAGGCUGUGGCUCCGUGGCAGAGUGCUUGGCUAGCCAGCGCUGCCUGGCUCAAUCUCCAGCUGCCAGGGACGUGGGGGGUGGAGAGGCAAGGAGGCAGAUCCUGUUUCCUGACCACCCAUCCAGUCACCAUCUAUAUUGCUGUCACAUCAGCUCUUAGUUCACCACGGACGAGAUGAAGGUAAGGCGGGUAACUGUAAAGCAAUUCUGGUCCCUUGAUGUGGGAAAUGGAAAUUGAGACUUAGUUAACUUGGUAUGAAGUUUAAGUGCCCCUUAAAGACUCGGGUGUGGGGACAGUGAGAUGUACUAAUAUCCUGGCCCCUAUGUGGAAGGAGAAAGCUGAUUCCCAAAAGUUGUCAUCUGGUCUCCACACAUGCACCGUGGCCUCCACACCCCAAAAAUGUAAUAAAAAAAUUAAAAGCCAUGGGGGCUUCCAUCCAGUGUUCCCAAUGUUUUGGAACUUUCUUUCUUUCCCCUACCAGCACCCUAGGGAGCCAACAGCCAGCAUGGGCCAUUUCCUAGGCCGGUUGAUGGGACCUUAGGGUUCCCGAGAAGGCUCCAACUGGUCCCUGAGAACUCAGUCCUCCUCCUAUCAACCAGGGGAAGGUGAGGACCGGCUGCCUAGCUGGGAGAGCGGUGGGAGAGCAGCGGUGAUGCUGGGCAGGACCAGCUGGCUGAGAGGCAGCUCCCUGCCACUUUACUGUUGCUAGGAGACCCUGGCUGACCCUGUCAUCUGGAUUGCUCCUCCCCAGCCAUCUACAACCCUUUCUCAGGCUCUGCAACACACCAGCCUCUCCUGCCGGUCCCUCCAGGUCCAGCCAGCUACGGGAGAAGGAGCAGGGGAAUAUGGAGGCAGGCAGGCAAUAACUUUGGGGAUGGGGGAGCACUCUGACGGCCUGCAGGUGACCUGGGACCCAAGCCUAGAGGAUCCAAAGUUUAUCAAUGUAGUCAUUACCUUAGGGGUGAAGUCUUUCAGAAACAUGAUGCAGAUACAGACUUCUCAGCCCAGUUCCUCCAGUAAAGGUCAAAGUUAAGGGCUGGUGAUGGUGGGGGGAGAGCAGCUGAGGAGAGAAAGGCUGAGGAGCCUCCAGGCUACAGGUGGGUGACAGUGAGUGGAGCUGGUGACACAGGGACAGGGUUGAGAUCCCCUCCUCUUCCUGGAAUCCCCUUGUUAGAAGUGAAGGCCAGCCAAGCCUUUAACCCCAGCACUGGAGCAGAGGCAGGCAGAUCUCUGUGAGUUCGAGCGAGUUCCAGGACAGCCAGGACUGUUUCACAGAGAAUCCCUGUCUGGGGAGCGGGGAGAGUGAAGGCUGAGGAGCAGGUGGCUAAAGAUUCCUGAAUUUGGCUACUGCUUGAAUUUUGUCACAGUUAAUCUUCCCUGGGUGAGAUCCAAGUGAUCCUGUCCCCAGGUCCACAGGAGCAAUCAGAGGUCGCUGUGCUUCACAUGGGGCUCCCUCCUUCCCUCCAUCCCUCCUUCCCAAUGCUGAUUUCCUGUGGGGCAAAUUACGAGCUCAGCUGUAGACCAGAGCUCAGUGAUCCAGACCCAACAGCACAGAGGAAAGCUCUACCAUUUGCAGGGGUUGAAGGCAGGCCUGCAAAAGAUGCUAUCCAGCUGUUGAAGUCAGAUACUCCUACAUGGCUCUCUCAUAACCAAGUUUUCUGGGCUCUGGCCACAGUUCUAGAAUCCUUGGCGUCUGAGCCUCAUCCAGGACAUUCUGCCCUUGGUGCUCUGGGGUGGCCCGGUGGAGAUGCUUACAGCAGGCCUCUUGUCUGCUGUCCCCACACUACAGGGGACUUUUUCCUCUGUGUGCUCCUAACUGAGGUCUCCGUUCAAAGAGUGCUCUUAUUCAUGAGUGUGCAUGAGUAUAUGUUGUGAGUGUGAGUGUAUCUGAGAGUGUGUGUGUGUGUGUUGAUAUGGAGUCCUAUUGUAUAGUUCAGGCUGGCCUAGAACUCAGAGCAAUCCUCCUGCCUUUGGUUCCCCUAUGCUAAGAUAACAGACAUUUUCCCACUCUGGACAAUUUCUCUUUACAGGUCAGAGAAGACCUGACACCUCACCCUGCGCUCCCCUGCAAUGCAAAAUAUGUUCCCAGACUUCAGAGGGACUGGCUCCAGCAAGCAGAAGUGAACAGAGGCAGAGGAGCCUCCUGGAAGCUCUCCCCGGAGCUAUGGAAUGAGGGCUUGCUUACCUGGCCACUUCCAGCGAGUUGUCCCACCAGCCCAUCUGUUUCUCCUGUUGUCUCUCGACUGCAUCCCCAAAUCCUAUCCCAUGUCCAAUAAAGAGUGUU